CGAAUUCGGUAGACGCUACGGACUUAAAUAAUUUGAGCGUUAGUAGAAAAACUUACUAAAUGCUAGCUUUCAGAUUCAGGGAAACUUAGGUUGAUAAAAAUAUAAGCAAUCCUGAGCCAAAUCUUAUUUCGUUUGAAAAUAAAAUAGGUGCAGAGACUCAAUGGAAGCUAUCCUAACGAAUAACAUUUUAAAAAUUAUUUAAAAUUUAUUUUUUAGAUAUUAAGCGAGGAUAAAGAUAGAGUCCAAUUUUACAUGUUAAUUUUAGCAACAAUUUAAAUUGUAGUAGAAAGAAAAUCCGUUGGCUUUAUUGACCGUGAGGGUUCAAGUCCCUCUACCCCCA
rnacentral:tRNA from 1 species